rnacentral:rRNA from 1 species
AGAGUUUGAUCCUGGCUCAGGAUAAACGCUGGCGGCGUGCCUAACACAUGCAAGUCGCACGUCCUGGGUCUCUUCGGAGACGCAGGGAGUGGCGGACGGGUGAGUAACACAUGGGUGACCUACCCCCGAGUGAGGAAUACCGGCGAGAAAUCGCCGACAAGACCGCAUAGGCUCUGCCUGCAAAAGGCGAGCAGAGCAAAGUCGCAAGACGCUUGGGGAUGGGCCUGUGGCCGAUUAGCUGGUUGGUGAGGUAAGGGCUCACCAAGGCGACGAUCGGUAGCUGGUCUGAGAGGACGAUCAGCCACACUGGGAUUGAGAACGGCCCAGACUCCUACGGGGGGCAGCAGUGAGGAAUUUUCCGCAAUGGACGCAAGUCUGACGGAGCAACGCCGCGUGCAGGAGGACGCUUCUCGGAGUGUAAACUGCUUUUCUGGGGGACGAGCGAGGACGGUACCCCAGGAAGAAGCCCCGGCUAACUACGUGCCAGCAGCCGCGGUAAUACGUAGGGGGCGAGCGUUGUCCGGAGUUACUGGGCGUAAAGGGCACGCAGGCGGUCCUGCGCGUGUCGCGUGACAGCGGGUGGCUUAACUGCCCGAGGGUGCGACAGACGGUGGGACUUGAGGGCCAGAGAGGGACCUGGAAUUCCGGGUGGAGUGGUGAAAUGCGUAGAUAUCCGGAGGAACACCAAAGGCGAAGGCAGGGUCCUGGCUGGUCGCUGACGCUGAGGUGCGAAAGCUAGGGGAGCGAACGGGAUUAGAUACCCCGGUAGUCCUAGCCGUAAACGAUGACCACCAGGUGUGGGAGGUAUCGACCCCUUCCGCGCCGGCGUUAACACACUAAGUGGUCCGCCUGGGGAGUACGGUCGCAAGAUUAAAACUCAAAGGAAUUGACGG